rnacentral:lncRNA from 8 species
AUGUCAGUCAAAGAGGCUUCGAUUGGACACGCUCAGGGAAGAGUGGGUCUGAGGAGAAAGCUGACAGGUCCUCCACGACGACUCCUUGGUAAAUCAAAGACUAGCAGUGACAUGGAGAGGAAGGGAAAGGCUUGGGGACAGAGAUCAGGGGAUGGCAAUGGGACCAAGGAAGAUUCCAUGCCUGGCUGUCAGGACACAAUCUUUGAAGAGGUUCCACUGGAAUCUACCACAAAGAGCCCUCGGAAAUCCACUGAUUCCAAAGAGGAGGCAACACUAGAAAACACAAUGGGAACCACAAAGUCACUCUCCACAGAACAAAGUGAUGUAAAAGCUGACCAUUCAAACCAAAAGCACAAGAGGGAAAAACAAGGCAUAAGGAAGCGAUGUUUCUCUCCAUCACUCAUUUGCAUUAGAAGGUGGAGGAAGAGAGCUGGUGAAAAGGAAGACAAGGAAGAAGGUCAUGAUAUCACAUUUUUCAACAAGCAAACCAGAGACUUUGCUGUUCAACCAACUGCAGUUUAUGGUGUAACAACCAGUGAAAAGCAAGUUAACAAUUGCUCUAGCAUGGACACUCCUGCGAUGAAAGGAAAGGAUGAAAAGUUAAAAGUUAAAACCUGGAGAAUCUUCAAAAGGCUCAUGAUCGCUCCCAGCGACCAUUCAAAAACAAAGCAAGAACAGCUAGGACCAGAGAUUUCUCUACAAGAUCAUUCUCCUUGUGUUAUUUCCUCCAAGAAAAAGACAGUGAAUCUCUGGAGGCACAGAACCAAAAAGCCCUCUCCUUUCUUCCAGGAGCGUAUUGGAUGCACACAGGAAUACAUUGAGGAGGAGACUAUAGUCCUGGCUAACAGACAUGCUGAUGAUAUUACUGAGUUCAUGAACCCUAAUCCACAUCCCCUAGAUUUUGUCAGGGAGGUUAAGGGCCAUUGCUCUGAGACACUAACAGUGAGUGUGGAUGUGAGUGUUAUGAAGUCAGAGGACACCGAGGUCAGAGACGCCAUAGAAACAAGUAAAGAAGAAACUAAGGCGUACAAAAACCCUGCCACUACAACUGAUAAAAUGGAAGCUAAAAAAUAUCCUGAAAAUAGACUGAAGCAGGCGGAUGAGAUGCUGGUAACCCCAUAUCCCAUAGAGACCUAUAGUUGUGCCGGCAAUGACGGGGUGAAUCUUGUUCUAGAGGUAGAGGAGGCGCAGAGACAUUCAGGCUUUAGUGAAAGUGUUACCUCAAGCACAGUUGCUGCAGAGGAUCUAUCAUUGGGGGGGGAAUUAACAUUAAACGCUAUUAACAAACACAUUGACUUAAAUGCAAUUUGUGAGGAUGCUUUUGUAAGCAAUGAAAUAAAAGCUAUAGAGGAAAACACUCCAACAAGCAUAAUUGCAAAUGAGAGCGUUAAAGAGGAUUCACAUUUAGAGAGUAACAUGUCUGAUGACGUGCAUUUAUACCCCAUUGAACUGAACAACUCUUUGAAGACUGGUUCCGACACAUUCCAUGGAAUCCUCAAUGCUGAAAAUAAUGGUGAAUCUAAGCAGAACUGUGAUGUGCAGCAGAAAGAGGUCCACCUGCUGGAGACGGCAUGCUCUGUGGUUCAGGUAGUCAUUACCGCUGCCUUGGAUCAGCUCAGAGUUGAGCUGGUGAACUCAGUUACCACACUGACCCAAGAGGAAAGAGAGUGCUGA